CCGGUGAAUGGAGCGGCGGAGUUGAUAGAUCGACGGAGAACGGAGAUAUCUGCAGUCACCGGAAAAGGCGUGAUAUGAUUGCAGAGAUUUAUGGCCAAACGUGAGAAAGCCAAAUAUGUGAAGUUGAAGCCCAGCAAGAGAAUGUGCGUUUGUGAUACUCAACGAAUUUAUAUACCCUUAAAAUGAAAGGUCGAUGAUGUUAUGUACCGAAGCCCAAGUCACCCUCCGAGUCCAUUACCGAGUCCAAAAGAUGCAUUUUAAGUGAAGCCCAUGCAUAUGUGCAUGAGUAAAGCACGUGUAGUCCAUCCACUUUAUUUUGAAUGUUCAAGUUGUUAGUCAUGUGUUAAAAUAAAGGAAAAUAAAGGAAUGCCCAUGUUUCCAUAUUGUUAAGAGUAGUUGGUAACUAAUUUGUGAGUAGUGGGUACAUCUUAUUAGGGUUAGUGGCAUGAGUGUUAACUAUAUAUAUAGUCAUGUACCUUUCCAUUUUGGAUUAUGAAUGAAAGUUUUCAAAGUCUAAUUAUCUCUCUAUUUUCUCGUCUGGCUUCUAUCUAUUUUCUUUGGUGAAUUAACCAAGAAUCAUAACAGUGGUAUUAGAGCGGUCUUGAUCCACUCCUAUGAACGCUCGUGAAUGGAAGGCUUCAAUGGAUCAGAUUGAGUGGCGGCCUCCAUGGAUUUUCUCCCUUAUUGUGUCCAGAUUCUUAACCUUGUGGAUAAGGUUGCUUGAAGUCGGAGGGAAUGAUGUGUGCCAUGAAACCCACGAAGUGGUCCAUCACGCAUUUACAUUAUUUUAGUUUAAUUAUAUCUACAUGUAUUUCUUUUAUUUGUUAGUUUAGUAGUAGAUAAUGGGUUAGUGGAUGGUUAGAUUAUUUACUAGUUUCAUCAACUUAUGUACAACCUAUAUAAUGGCUUUAGGUGUUUUGUGAUUAUUAUGAAUGAAAAAUAUUAAAAA